GGAGAUGUAUCGAAGUGGUCAUAACGGGGCGCACUCGAAAUGCGUUGAUCCCUACCGGGAUCCGUGGGUUCGAAUCCCACCAUCUCCGCCA
rnacentral:tRNA from 1 species